CUUUCAUCGUAGUUAAUCCUGCACACUCAAAACAAAAACUUCGAUCAAGACAAUUAAUCCUAAGCAAUUAACCAAGUUGUCCGGCAUGUCAUUGGUCCCUCGACGCUUCGUCCGAUUCUUCGGCGCAUCGUCCUUUCCUGCAGCCUAUUGCCCAAUCGGCCAGUUGACUCCGCAACUCCGAUAUCCUUGGCACAAUACCCGCUCUUCUUGGCCCGAUGCUCGAGUCCACGACCCGAAGCCUUCUGUCGAUACGUCAACCGAUCUACCGGCCCGACGUCCAAUCUUCUGACAUGUUCCUCCGGUACAACAUGAUGUUCCUGCUUUAAUUGUCUC
rnacentral:lncRNA from 1 species